CGCUUUCCAUGGUGUCGGUCGCCUACGAUCCACCGGAGUCUGGAAGCUGGUGAUGCUCCUUCUGGGGCUCCGUGGGGUCACUCGCAGCCGAACGCAGCAUCACACGGCCAUGUCAUUCACCUCACUUCUCAUCACGUGGGCAUUUUGUCAUGCACACCAUCAUUGUAGGAAGAAGGGCAGUCGUCCUCAGCCUGGGAGAUCCUGCUGCCGGGAGACAGAGACAUCUGCCCCUUCACAGCAGGGAAGCAUCUGGACCCACGUGUCUGUGAGACCGAGGUUGAGACAUUCUGCUUCAGGGACGCUGAGGCCCCGAGAUAUUGUAGCCACCCUGAUCAAUGUGCCUACAGUGGCCCCGUGACUCUGAAGGUGAUCAAAAGCCACAUUUCUGGGUGGCAGGCACUCAGCAAGACAAUCCCCAUGCAUGACCACUGACCGUCACCUGUGAGGAAGACAGCAUGCUGGGCUUUUUCAUGGAAAAUCUGUAACUCCAGGAAGAAGAACGUUCUAGAAAUAGCUCCUGAGAACCUGGGGAUAUAAUGCACUUCGGUGUUUUCUUCAACACAAAACCCUUCUUGCUUGUUGGUGGGCACACUGGCAAGAUGAAACUCUGAGUCCUGACAUCCGGGACAGGUUCCCAUGACCCCCGGCUGCUCCCAGAGCUGUGCUCAGGGUGGGGGACGAGGGGCUCCUCUCUGGGGGUGCCCACAGUCCCCCGCCCAAAGCUGCGUCGUUUGGUCUCCACGCUGUCAGCAUCCGAUGCUUUUCAGAUAUCGGGAACAUGGUCAGCUCCUCCUGCUUUCUGUGCUCCUUGCAAGUCCUGUUAUCAUUUGCUUUUUACAAUCCUGGACACAGUAAGGAGGUUUUAAAUCCCUCAAACGUGUUCUAAAAGGCAGCUCCCAGCUCUGUUAGUGUGACCUUUGCAGCGCCCCGUGACUUACGUGGUUGGCCAUUUGUCUUCCUCUUUUUUAAAUAACAGCAACCAAAGGAAGGGGUGGGAAGUUGAGAGCCUGUUCUGGUGGGGACACAGAAGGGUUACGAAUGCUCUUCCACUAUCACCCGACAGCCUUUGGCAUUUCAAAGGCCUGACGGGGUUUUAUGGGGCUGCAGGCUGUUCCCUGGAAACCUGUGUAGCUACAAAUCUAGGAGGACCUCACCUCCCCUGCUGUCACCUACCACCUACCGGUGACCUUGGAGGUUGUCACCGGAUACCCCCCGUUCUCUAGGGAGGAAUGGCAUUCUCUCUCUUGGAGAGCCUUUGACAAUAUACUUUGGAGCCAAUGAAUGUCCAAGUCACUGGGUUUUUAAAUUUUUAUUUAUUUAUUUUUAAAAAUAUUUUAUGUAUUUAUUUGAGAGAGAGCAUGAGAGGGCGGCAGAGGGAAAGAAACAAUCGGGCUCUCCGCUGAGCAGGGAACCCAAUGCGGGGCUCCAUGCGGGGCUCGAUCUCAUGACCCUGGGAUCAUGACCCGAGUCUAAGACAGACACUUAAUCGACUGAGCCACCCACGUGACCACCAAGUCAUUAGUUUUUUUCAGCCCACUUUGUGGAGAUACCAUGAGCAUGCAGUAAGCUGUACGUGUGGCGUGUAUACAGCCGGAGGAGUUUGCAAAGGAAGGACGCACCCUGAAGCUAUCACUCCAUCCUAUGCCAUAAACGCGGGGGAUGCUCAAGAGAGUCCUCCAUCCUCUCCUUUGUAGCUGCCGUGAGCCUUUGCUGGGAUGUGGGCACUUCCAGAAUGUUAGAGCCUCCUGACUCGAUCGCUGAUCGCCUCAGGGGCGGUGCAGGACUGCACUUCACCGACAAGGCCCUUCCGAUCUUCAUGUGAAUUCUUUUGUUUGGGGGAAUUUCUUCAAUGCCAUUGUCUAUCUCUCCAGUAGAAACUGGAUCGUUUUGAAAUCUCAAGCCGCUUCAGACAGUUUUGAUGGAUUUUAGUACUAAAUAGCGUAGACCGUAGUGCUUGAACUACUCCUGCGAUGGUAGGAACUGACCGCCCCAUCUUGUUCGCCGGUUCUUCAAGCCUCUUUAUCACCAACGCCUGAAGGAGGAGAGCCGGACGCAGCCUUCGCUGGUGUCUGCUCUGCUGCCCCGGGUGCAGGUGGACGA